UACGGGGGGGGCAAGCGUUGUCCGGAAUCAUUGGGCGUAAAGAGCGCGCAGGCGGCUGGUCAAGUCCGAUGUGAAAUCUCCCGGCUCAACUGGGAAACUGCAUCGGAAACUGAUCGGCUUGAAGAUGGGAGAGGGUAGUGGAAUUCCCGGUGUAGUGGUGAAAUGCGUAGAUAUCGGGAGGAACACCAGUGGCGAAGGCGACUACCUGGCCCAUUCUUGACGCUGAGGCGCGAAAGCUAGGGGAGCGAACGGG
rnacentral:rRNA from 1 species